GAUGAACGCCGGCGGCGUGCUUAACACAUGCAAGUCGAGCGAAGCGGUUUUAAGGAAGUUUUCGGACGGAAUUAAAACUGACUCAGCGGCGGACGGGUGAGUAACGCGUGGGUAACCUGCCUCAUACAGGGGGAUAACAGUUAGAAAUGACUGCUAAUACCGCAUAAGCGCACAGUGCUGCAUAGCACAGUGUGAAAAACUCCGGUGGUAUGAGAUGGACCCGCGUCUGAUUAGGUAGUUGGUGAGGUAAUGGCUCACCAAGCCGACGAUCAGUAGCCGACCUGAGAGGGUGACCGGCCACAUUGGGACUGAGACACGGCCCAAACUCCUACGGGAGGCAGCAGUGGGGAAUAUUGGACAAUGGGGGAAACCCUGAUCCAGCGACGCCGCGUGAGUGAAGAAGUGUUUCGGCAUGUAAAGCUCUAUCAGCAGGGAAGAAAAUGACGGUACCUGACUAAGAAGCCCCGGCUAACUACGUGCCAGCCGCCGCAGUAACAC
rnacentral:rRNA from 1 species